rnacentral:rRNA from 1 species
ACCCGCUGAACUUAAGCAUAUCAAUAAGCGGAGGAAAAGAAACCAACAGGGAUUGCCCUAGUAACGGCGAGUGAAGCGGCAACAGCUCAAAUUUGAAAUCUGGCGUCUUUGGCGUCCGAGUUGUAAUUUGCAGAGGGCGCUUUGGCAUUGGCAGCGGUCCAAGUUCCUUGGAACAGGACGUCACAGAGGGUGAGAAUCCCGUACGUGGUCGCUAGCCUUUACCGUGUAAAGCCCCUUCGACGAGUCGAGUUGUUUGGGAAUGCAGCUCUAAAUGGGAGGUAAAUUUCUUCUAAAGCUAAAUACUGGCCAGAGACCGAUAGCGCACAAGUAGAGUGAUCGAAAGAUGAAAAGCACUUUGGAAAGAGAGUUAAAAAGCACGUGAAAUUGUUGAAAGGGAAGCGCUUGCGGCCAGACUUGCCUGUAGUUGCUCAUCCGGGUUUUUACCCGGUGCACUCUUCUAUAGGCAGGUCAGCAUCAGUUUGGGCGGUUGGAUAAAGGUCUCUGUCAUGUACCUCUCUUCGGGGAGAACUUAUAGGGGAGACGACAUGCAACCAGCCCGGACUGAGGUCCGCGCAUCUGCUAGGAUGCUGGCGUAAUGGCUGU